rnacentral:rRNA from 1 species
UACGAAGGGGGCUAGCGUUGUUCGGAACUACUGGGCGUAAAGGGCGCGUAGGCUGUGCUGUAAGUCAGGCGUGAAAGCCCCGGGCUCAACCUGGGAAUUGCGCUUGAUACUGCGGCGCUGGAAGGUGGGAGAGGAUGGCGGAAUUCCCAGUGUAGAGGUGAAAUUCGUAGAUAUUGGGAAGAACACCGGUGGCGAAGGCGGCCAUCUGGCCCAUUUUUGACGCUGAGGCGCGAAAGCGUGGGGAGCAAACAGG